GAUGAACGCUGGCGGCGUGCCUAAUACAUGCAAGUCGAGCGAACAGACGAGGAGCUUGCUCCUCUGACGUUAGCGGCGGACGGGUGAGUAACACGUGGAUAACCUACCUAUAAGACUGGGAUAACUUCGGGAAACCGGAGCUAAUACCGGAUAAUAUAUUGAACCGCAUGGUUCAAUAGUGAAAGACGGUUUUGCUGUCACUUAUAGAUGGAUUCGCGCCGCAUUAGCUAGUUGGUAAGGUAACGGCUUACCAAGGCAACGAUGCGUAGCCGACCUGAGAGGGUGAUCGGCCACACUGGAACUGAGACACGGUCCAGACUCCUACGGGAGGCAGCAGUAGGGAAUCUUCCGCAAUGGGCGAAAGCCUGACGGAGCAACGCCGCGUGAGUGAUGAAGGUCUUCGGAUCGUAAAACUCUGUUAUUAGGGAAGAACAAAUGUGUAAGUAACUAUGCACGUCUUGACGAUACCUAAUCAGAAAGCCACGGCUAACUACGUG
rnacentral:rRNA from 1 species